rnacentral:rRNA from 1 species
GCGUAACGCGUGGGAAUCUGCCCUUGGGUUCGGGAUACANNUGGAAACGACUGCUAAUACCGGAUGAUGACUUCGGUCCAAAGAUUUAUCGCCCAGGGAUGAGCCCGCGUAGGAUUAGCUAGUUGGUGAGGUAAGAGCUCACCAAGGCGACGAUCCUUAGCUGGUCUGAGAGGAUGAUCAGCCACACUGGGACUGAGACACGGCCCAGACUCCUACGGGAGGCAGCAGUGGGGAAUAUUGGACAACGGGCGAAAGCCUGAUCCAGCAAUGCCGCGUGAGUCAUGAAGGCCUUAGGGUUGU